AACGCUGUUUUAUUUUGUAUGGCGAGUUUUAAAAUAAAUCUGAAACUGAAACUGCGUGUUCGCAAUGCACAGCUCUAGUUUUAUUUUUCGAGCACAUUUUUAAAACAAAUUUACAACUGCUCGACAGGUUUGUUUCAAACGCGGAUCGAUUUGAAACUGGAAUAAAACUUUGUUUUAUUUCCAAACUGUCAUCCGUGCAUUGUGUGUGUGUGCCGUGUUGAUGUUUUUCAUUGAUCUCCACUCCGUCCAGCUCCGUCAGCCGCAUGAAAGUGGAGUGUGUUUUGUUUCUUUGCCAAUAAUUGGCAAAAUUAUUUUGUACGGAAGUAGUGAUAUCCCGAAGUAAUCGGUUCUGGGCAGCAGAAAUAAGUGGAUUCAUCAAUGCAGGUGAUUUCAGGUUACGCUACGCUGCACCUGGUCCACCCACCGUGAUUUCUGCGUUUCACAACUUCCUGUCCCAGAAACAAACACCAAUUUGGGUUAACCUACCGAUGAUCCCAAGGUACGGUAUCGACAACAUCAAAGCCGCCCAAGGAACCUCCAAAAAGAAUCUGUCGGAAGAAGCAAAGGCUACAAAUGGGCCAGUAUGAGCCAGAACAUGCCCCGCCAGAUCACGAUAAAGGAACCACGACGACCGAUAGAAUGUGGAUAACAAAACGUCAUUUCCCGAGCCUACACCGAAAACCUCCGUCUCAGAGAAUCCAUCCGGAACGACGCACACCCAGUUGACCGACGGUCGGGCUUUCGAUCGAACAAUUAGGAAAUGACCGACAGCAGUGCGGUGGCGGGCAGAAUCGCUUAAAGGGUAUUUCAUCGUUAACUGCUCUCAGAUGAAGGACAUCACGAAGAUGCAGAUCUCCAACGGAUUGGAAGAGAAUAUAUAGUUAUCUGCAUGAUUGACACCGACAGGAAGGAAGAAGUCUCAAAAGAGGUGUAGAAAAAAUAACUGCUGGAGGAUAAACAAGGACUAGAUGACGACGGAGGAGAUCGACGAAGUGGAAGAAGAGCUAGUCAAGGGCGAUAUGUUGAUCAAACCGGAACCAUAUAAAAUGGAUGACCAUCACGGAUCAGCAGGAAAAGAAGUCAUAGAAGAAGGAAUUGAGACCGCCACGAACGUCCAGCACUGACAAAAAACUGCGAUGGGAAGCAGGUUAAUCGGAGAUGCAUAAAAAUCGACAGUGACUUCGAUCAGAGCCAACGUUACAGAGAAGGUUCGUUGUCCGUGUGGAACGGGACCGAACCACCCGACUUCCGUGUGUCUCUAACCGAAUGACCGAUACCAUCGGCAGGUCAUUCAGAACACUAUAAACGCUAACACUCGGACGACUACACGGAUAUACAUACAGCGAUUCCGCUGCUUGAAAUUCAACUGGAUGUUCCUUCGGAACAAGAAACGAAUGUGGCAUCAUAUCAUUAUGCACAACUACUAGGUGCAAAGUAUUGGAUCGCAGAAUCCAUGGCCGAAAACCACCUCUUCCGACAGUAGCAAUAUUUUGCUAAUUGUUACAAUUAUGGAACUGUUACCUGAUAACGAAUAAAAAUAAAGGAUUGAUUUACAAUACAUAUUAUUUUUUUUGCAAAGCUUGUACAAGCAAUUGUUUUCUCUUUCUUGGCACUCAUAUAUUAUCGCACCACCAAAUCGAAGUCGUCGCUUGAAACACAUACGAAGUUGCAGCUGCGAAGUAAAUUUUGAAUCUAUUUUUCCUGUUGUGCAUCAUUAAGCUAAUUAAGUGCUACAAUAUGCACUAAUCUAAGUUGAGUUGCGACAUUUCUAAGUAGGUUAAAAAUCAAUUUUCGCACCCCCGGUAACUUCGGAUUUUAACCAAAAGCAUAAUACUUGUUCAAAGAAAGGGCGAUUUUGUUUUCGUUUAUAAGAUACGAAACCUAAGUUGGUAAAGAAACCCGAAUCUAUAACAUCCCACCAAAAACCAUUUUUAAGAAAAUCAUAACCUAGAAAACAUUGCGACGAAGGAUGCAUGGGAAUGUUAUAGAAUCACCGAAUCACGAAGACCGUAUAAGGCUCAAGCUGGAGUACUUUUUUUUGCAGAAUACUCGAAUAAAACUCCUAGCGCGAUUCCAGGAGGAAUUCUUGGAAGAAUAUUGAAAGGAAUAUGUACUGAAGCAAUCCUCGAAUGAGUUUCUGCCUUAACCUCUGAGGACUCUAAAAGAAUUCUAAACGGAAUACCUGCUGAAUGAUCUAGAAAGCAAUUUUGAAUGAACUCCAACAGGAAUCUCAGAAGUAAGUAGAAGCAGAAUUAAUCCUAGAAAAAUGCAUGAAGAAACUAGGAACUCCUUCAAGAAUUCAAGAAAAAAAAAAUACUGCAGGAGUCCCCGAAGAAAUUUUGCACAAAUUUAAGAAGAAACUCCUUCAGAAAUCUCAGUAUCUGCAUCUGGAAGAAUCGCAAAAAAUCCAGAAUCAACUUCUGGAGGAUUCUUUUAUUGCGCUAUGCAGCAAUCCUAGUAUACAUACAUAUUGCACGGAUAUUCUAUUUAAACUUAAAUGGAAAUUGUUUAGAAAUAUGCUGGUGUAAUUUAUAAAAAAAAUAGCGGUAAGAAGAUUUCUGUGAAAUUUUCAGAUAAAUAUUUACUCUUUUAAUUUGUAGAAGAACAGCUAGGUACUGCUUACGAAAUACUCAUGAGAAAUUCCUGGGGGAGAACUUUGAUGCGAGCAUGUAUUGCAAUUCUUGGAAAACGAGCGAGCAUUCUGCUCUGAAAGUGCAAGUAACUCUAGAUACAAUUAAUUGCUUCCGUUAUCUAUUUUCUAUUCUAUGAUUAAUCAAAGGAUGUUGAUCAUUAAUUAAAAACAGUUAGAUUAUUGUAGGCAAAAUAUUGCUUUACAUAUAAACAUCAAUUUCCAUCAUGUUUAAAAAAUGCCAAAUUCACAAAUACAUGCGUACAACUUUCUGCAAAUAAAAUCAAAUUUAAAACAGCAUUGUCGGGAACGAGUUUCAGUUUUAUUUUUGACAGUUUUAAAUUUUAAAACAUCGAGCAGUUUGAAACAAAAUUUAAAACUCAGCAUUGGGA